GCCUGGGUGGCGAAAUUGGUAGACGCAGUUGAUUCAAAAUCAACCGCCUUCGGGUGUGCCGGUUCGAGUCCGGCUCCAGGCACCA
rnacentral:tRNA from 3 species